GUUGUCCUCUACUUCUUCUUCCUUGGAGAUAUCUUUAGGUGCUGCAUUCAAAGUCUGCCCCUCUUCGACAUAAGCCACUGUGGUAGCAUGUUGAAAGGUCGUUUCUUCAACAUCAUCUUCUAUAUGCUCUUUAGUUUUAACAGCUUCAGCUUCAUUACCUUCACCAUGGUAGGUUUUUUCUUGUAAGCCUCCUUCAAAUAUUGUGUCCUUUAUACCAUCAUCACUUUCUAUCUGAGGUUCUGUUUUCACUGUGAUGCUAUCCUUUUUCUCAUCUGGUUCAACAUUUGGCUUGAUUUCUUCAGUAUCUUCCUCUUUCUUAAUUUCUGAACAAG
rnacentral:lncRNA from 1 species